rnacentral:lncRNA from 1 species
AGGGGGCCAAGACAACGUCCCUCAAAGUCAGGGCAGACCCAGGCAUUGUCUUGGCCGGAGGUCCUGCUGUGGUCUAGGCUGCUGAACUGGUUUUGGACAGCAGGAGAUGGCUGGGUGGAGCUGAGUCUGUGCCCAAUUAAUGUGGCCCAGAAGGGGCCACGGAGUGGAACAGUUGAUGCUGACACAACACGUUUCAGGGGUUUGUCCAGAAUAGCUCUCGCCUGGUGCCAGGGCUGAACGCCUAUUACUGGUUGGAGCACAUCCUCCUGUUUAAGUUUCAUCUGAAACAGUCCAGUUUGCACACUGUGAGACCACCCUGCAAUGUGAACUGAAGCACAGAAGUGGGGACAAUUGAGGGACCUGUUUCAAAAAUUCACUUGUGAUCCAAACUAGAAUACUAACAUUAUUGUACUAUCAACUAAAAGCCAUGGAGAUCUCUCUCCAGUUAUCUUGGAGACUUGGACUUGUUUGGAAAUGAUGAUUUCUUAAAAUUUUUUUUAGUAGAGGAAUGGCAAUUAAGUAACUUGUGAAAUUGUCUCUAACUACUUUUUUCUUAGUUCACUAAUGAAAAAUUUAUUUGCCUUCUCUCUGAGCCAGUGCUCCUUUUACUACUUCAAGCUUUUUUCAGCAAGCAGAAAGAAUGGAAACUUUUAAUAAAGGCUUUUUAUAGCAGAAGCUGGAGCCUUGAGAAGAAGCAUUGACUACAGCAAGCGUCAUGCCAAAAUCCCCAGAGCUUGAUAACGCUUCAAAUGCAUCCCCAAGUGCACAUUUGCACAUGCUCACUAUUGUGCGAUUGAAAUACAGCUGACAAGUCCAGAAGCAUCAUUUAAACGUCACCUUACAACCUGUAUGAGCCUGCAAGACAUCAGUGCCUAACAGCUGAAGCCAGCUCUGGAACACAUAAGACACAAUGUUCACCAGAAUUUGCCUGUGCUCUGUUCCAGCUCAGGGAACAAGGGCCAAAGUUAUAGCUGUAGCUUGCAACUGCUUUGCAAUAAGCAAUUGCACCUCUAACUUACCUCUAAUUACUCUAACUUUAUUAUGGAACAAAACAGUAGAUUCACUUUCUAGGAAGUCAAGAGAUCACAACCAAAGUUUUCCACUUACUUUUCUUUCUUUUACAAUGGAGAAUGUUAUGGAAGACAGGAAUAUAAUCUUGAGAAAGUUGUGGCACUGGUUUUAGGAGCUAACCAUUUAUGGGACACAGCGUGCAGCAAGACUGUACAUCCCUAGCACUCAGACUUUCUAAGCUGAGUGGUGGGAGAGUGUGCAAGAAAGGAGUGGUGCCUUUGCACUCUUUCCUGCUUUCUCUCCAGCAUCCUGCUGUGGCCCAGGCCGGCUGCGAUGCUGGUCUAGAUGACCUUGGAUCAAAACUUGCCCUUGUAUUCCAUUCUAAAUUGACUGUAAACUGUCCUACCAUUACUUUUGAAUUGGUGUCAAGUAGGUAACACUUCUGUAAGUAGCUGGUGAAAACUUGGCUUUGGGCAAAAAAUAGCAGGCUGUUGUAUUUGUGUGUGUAAGUACAAGAUCAAAGUUGGAAACUAAUUAAAUAAAUAAAUAAAUAAAAUCCCA